AGAUUGAACGCUGGCGGAAUGCUUUACACAUGCAAGUCGAACGGCAGCACGGGGGUAACCCUGGUGGCGAGUGGCGAACGGGUGAGUAAUACAUCGGAACGUGCCCAGUCGUGGGGGAUAACGUAGCGAAAGCUACGCUAAUACCGCAUACGAACUCUGGUUGAAAGCGGGGGACUCGCAAGAGCCUCGCGCGAUUGGAGCGGCCGAUGGCAGAUUAGGUAGUUGGUGGUAAAGGCUCACCAAGCCUGCGAUCUGUAGCUGGUCUGAGAGGACGACCAGCCACACUGGGACUGANACACGGCCCAGACUCCUACGGGA
rnacentral:rRNA from 1 species